rnacentral:lncRNA from 1 species
UGUAUUUGAUGAAGAAAAUAAAAGUGGAAUUUUUUUUGUUUGAUUGAAGCAGACACUGAAGUUUCCAAAUUACAUGUGAGAAAAUAGAAGACAAAAAAUUGCCCCUCAAUCUACAGAAUAAAAAUUCAAGGCUAUGAUGAAACCAUUCUGAUGAGGUCUGCAUCCCUAGGAAUGACCUCAUCUAAUGAAUUGGACAAGGAUAUGGAUUUUAGGAGAAGAGGGUUCUGCCCAGAGUGGAAGCAACUUGAGGCAAGUAUAGGUCUCAUUCUUCUUUAUAUCACCUACAGCUAGCAAAUGCAUUUCAUGGGUGCCUAAAAAUUUGUUGAUUAUUUGUAGGUUAUCAAUAUCUGGGAAGUAAUGAUGGAGUAUUGCUUCGAUGCUUUGUGAUUCUUGACCAAUUCUCAACUGGAUGAUUUUUAAGCCCUUUGGCUUAAAUUAAAUUUGGACAUCAAUACAAGGGCUAAGAAAUGGAUUACAGGUACAAUGCAACUCCAGUUUUAACCAGAUUAAUGCAUUAUUAGUACCUGAAUUGCUACGUCUUUCCACUG